CCCGAAGGUAUCCUGAAUCUUUCGCAUUGUUAAUCAUNCAAGUGCAUAUAAUAAACAUAAAUAUCAAUGAUAAUUAUGCCAUUAUAUAAUUCCGAAAAAUUAUCGCACUGUAAUCAUAUAAAUCUAUCAGCACUUUAUCAAAUUGUUAAACUCUUACUUUAUGUUAAAGCGCAAGCACUUUAAUUCAAGUAAACAUGAUGUUAACAUUUUUUGAUAAAUUUAUAUAUGCUAAUAGAUUACAAUGUCCUUAUAUGGAAAAAAUG
rnacentral:rRNA from 1 species